rnacentral:rRNA from 1 species
UGGGGAAUAUUGGACAAUGGGCGAAAGCCUGAUCCAGCCAUGCCGCGUGUGUGAAGAAGGUCUUCGGAUUGUAAAGCACUUUAAGUUGGGAGGAAGGGCAGUUACCUAAUACGUAUCUGUUUUGACGUUACCGACAGAAUAAGCACCGGCUAACUCUGUGCCAGCAGCCGCGGUAAUACAGAGGGUGCAAGCGUUAAUCGGAAUUACUGGGCGUAAAGCGCGCGUAGGUGGUUUGUUAAGUUGGAUGUGAAAUCCCCGGGCUCAACCUGGGAACUGCAUUCAAAACUGACAAGCUAGAGUACGGUAGAGGGUGGUGGAAUUUCCUGUGUAGCGGUGAAAUGCGUAGAUAUAGGAAGGAACACCAGUGGCGAAGGCGACCACCUGGACUGAUACUGACACUGAGGUGCGAAAGCGUGGGGAGCAAACAGGAUUAGAUACCCGAGUAGUCCCUGAGCGGGCUGGCAAGGCGCAU